UUAGUCUAGUCAGAAAACGCAGCAUCAUGAUAUUUUUUUUCUUUCUAAGCUUUGACAUUAUUCUGGUUUCAGGUUCUUCUCUCCAUAACCAAGUCCAGCAGGAUCCUGCUGAAAUAUACUACAGAGCUGAAGAAACAGCUAAAAUCAGCUGCUCUCACAGCAUUCAGCACUAUGAUAAAAUCCUCUGGUACAAGCAAUCAAGGGACGAUCAGAUGCAGUUCCUGGGAUACAUGAAUGUAAAUGAUGGAUAUCCAGAGACUGGUGCCAAUGUGGAAAUAAGUGGGAGCGCAAUUCAAGACAGCACCUGCACUCUAACAAUUAAAGGACUCAUUGUGAACAGCAGUGCAGUUUACUUCUGUGCUGCUAGUCACACAGUGCUAUGUAGCACUGCUCCCCAAUACAUAAACCUCCCAAUCAUCAGUUUUCAUCUCUUCUUCUCAGAGUUCACAGCCCUGUGCACCUGUAACAUUUCCUGUCAUGGCGCUGCAGUAUAUCAUUGCAAAGACUUGUAAAUUGAACAAGGCUGACACCAUGACAGUUCUAAUAAUAAGCUCCACCCACUGAAUGACUGUUUGCUCUAAAGCAGAUUUACUCUUACUUUAACCAUAGAACACCUUUCAUAGCGAGAUGAUGAUCGUGAUUAUUCUGCUCCUGAGGUUUCAUUUAAACUGUAUUCUAGUUUCAGGUUCUUCUUUCAGCGACAAAGUCUACCAGACUCCAGCUAAUAUUUACACAAAUGGAGAAGAUGCUAAAAUCUCCUGCUCGCAUAAUAUUUCAAGCUAUAACCAAAUCCUCUGGUACAAACAGUCAAAGAAACAAUUAGAAUUGCUGGGAUACAUGGUUUUAACAGGAAGUAAUGCAGAGGCUGGACUGAAUGUGGUGAUGGAAGGGAGUGCAAGUCAAGGCAAGAACUGCACAUUAACGAUUAAGGAAACCAAACUGAACAGCAGUGGAGUGUACUUCUGUGC